AUUGAACGCUGGCGGCAGGCUCAACACAUGCAAGUCGAGCGGGGUGAUGGUGCUUGCACUAUCACUUAGCGGCGGACGGGUGAGUAAUGCUUAGGAAUCUGCCUAUUAGUGGGGGACAACAUCUCGAAAGGGAUGCUAAUACCGCAUACGUCCUACGGGAGAAAGCAGGGGAUCACUUGUGACCUUGCGCUAAUAGAUGAGCCUAAGUCGGAUUAGCUAGUUGGUGGGGUAAAGGCCUACCAAGGCGACGAUCUGUAGCGGGUCUGAGAGGAUGAUCCGCCACACUGGGACUGAGACACGGCCCAGACUCCUACGGGAGGCAGCAGUGGGGAAUAUUGGACAAUGGGGGGAACCCUGAUCCAGCCAUGCUGCGUGUGUGAAGAAGGCCUUAUGGUUGUAAAGCACUUUAAGCGAGGAGGAGGCUCUUUUGGUUAAUACCCAAGAUGAGUGGACGUUACUCGCAGAAUAAGCACCGGCUAACUCUGUGCCAGCAGCCGCCGUAA
rnacentral:rRNA from 1 species